rnacentral:rRNA from 1 species
AACGCUAGCGGCAGGCUUAACACAUGCAAGUCGAGGGGUAACAGAGGUAGCUUGCUACUUGCUGACGACCGGCGCACGGGUGCGUAACGCGUAUACAAUCUGCCUUACACUGGGGGAUAGCCUUUAGAAAUGAAGAUUAAUACCCCAUAGAAUGAGACUGUGGCAUCACAGACUUAUUAAAGGUUACGGUGUAAGAUGAGUAUGCGUCCUAUUAGCUAGAUGGUGUGGUAACGGCACACCAUGGCGACGAUAGGUAGGGGCCCUGAGAGGGGGAUCCCCCACACUGGUACUGAGACACGGACCAGACUCCUACGGGAGGCAGCAGUGAGGAAUAUUGGACAAUGGGCGAGAGCCUGAUCCAGCCAUGCCGCGUGCAGGAAGACUGCCCUAUGGGUUGUAAACUGCUUUUAUACAGGAAGAAACACUCCCUCGAGAAGGGAGCUUGACGGUACUGUAAGAAUAAGGAUCGGCUAACUCCGUGCCAGCAGCCGCGGUAAUACGGAGGAUCCAAGCGUUAUCCGGAAUCAUUGGGUUUAAUGGGUCCGUAGGUGGAUAAUUUAGUCAGAGGUGAAAUCCUGCAGCUCAACUGUAGAAUUGCCUUUGAUACUGGUUAUCUUGAGUUAUUAUGAAGUAGUUAGAAUAUGUAGUGUAGCGGUGAAAUGCAUAGAUAUUACAUAGAAUACCAAUUGCGAAGGCAGAUUACUAAUAAUCAACUGACACUGAUGGACGAAAGCGUGGGGAGCGAACAGGAUU